rnacentral:rRNA from 1 species
CUAACCUGGUUGAUCCUGCCAGUAGCAUACGCUUGUCUCAAAGAUUAAGCCAUGCACGUCUAAGUAUAAGCAUUAUACUGUGAAACUGCGAAUGGCUCAUUAUAUCAGUUAUAGUUUAUUUGAUGGUCCUUGCUACUUGGAUAACCGUAGUAAUUCUAGAGCUAAUACAUGCACAAAUCCCCGACUGCUUGGAA